rnacentral:ncRNA from 1 species
UAAAGUUUUGGUCCUAAACUUACUGCUACUUUUAAUCAAAAUUACACAUGCAAGUAUCCGCAUACCAGUGAACUAUGCCCUAAAAGUACAAACGGAGCAGGUAUCAGGCACGAACGUCAGCCCAAAACACCAAGCUACGCCACACCCACACGGGCCUACAGCAGUGAUAAACAUUGAGCAAUAGGCGAACUAACAACCCCUUAAGCCUGACUUAGUUAUGAUUAAUAAGGGCCGGUCAACCUCGUGCCAGCCACCGCGGUUAUACGAAGGGCCCAAAGCAGCAGAUACCGGCGUAAAUAGUGGCUAGAAUUACACCACACAUUAAAAGUUAAACCAUAGCCUAACCGUAAAACACAGGCUAAAUGAAACCAAAUACUUUUACCACACAGGUGAUUUGACCCACGAAAACUAAGAAACAAACUAGGAUUAGAUACCCUACUAUGCUUAGUCGUUAAUACGAUACUCUACUACACUAGUAUCCGCCAGAAAAUUACGAGUGAAAAACUUAAAACUCAAAGGACUUGGCGGUGCCCCAAAUCAACUUAGAGGAGCCUGUCCUGUAAUCGAUACUCCACGAUAAACCUCACCAACCUUAGCCCUUUCAGCCUAUAUACCGCCGUCGCCAACUUACUCCAUGAGGAAAGAACAGUAAGUAAAAAAGUCCAACACAAGAACGUCAGGUCAAGGUGUAGCUAAUAAGUUGGAAGUGAUGGGCUACAUUUUUUAAAAUAAAAAAUACGGCAUGGAACCGUGAAACCGGUUCCUAAAGGAGGAUUUAACAGUAAAAUUAGCAAGAAAGCCAAUUUUAAACCCGCUCUGGGGCGCGCACACACCGCCCGUCACCCUCAUCACACAAAAACCCCUAAUACAUAAAAAAUAAUAAACACCAAGAUGAGGCAAGUCGUAACAUGGUAAGCGCACUGGAAAGUGUGCUUGGAAUA